rnacentral:rRNA from 1 species
UACGUAGGGGGCAAGCGUUGUCCGGAAUCAUUGGGCGUAAAGAGCGUGUAGGCGGCCCGGUAAGUCCGCUGUGAAAGUCCAGGGCUCAACCCUGGAAUGCCGGUGGAAACUGUCGGGCUAGAGUCCGGAAGAGGCGAGUGGAAUUCCCGGUGUAGCGGUGAAAUGCGCAGAUAUCGGGAAGAACACCUAUGGCGAAGGCAGCUCUCUGGGACGGUACUGACGCUGAGACGCGAAAGCGUGGGGAGCGAACAGG